AUCCUUUAUGGUUCAUAAAUAUGAUGACUGGGUUUUCACACUGCUGUGUGAGAUAUAUCUCCCUCAAACUUAUAUAAGUUAUACAUUAUAAUAUAUAAUGACC